rnacentral:snoRNA from 1 species
AUGAAUAGGUGAAAUAGAGUCUCCCUCAAAACUCAUAGCUAAGGAAAGGUAUUUCCUAUGUGCUAAACAAACCUUUGGAGAUAGAUUAGCAGCAUGACUAAUUUAGCCAUUGCUGUCAGUCACCUUCUGACAAGU